UUUGGUUGGGCAUGAGGAAUAUUGGUCAAUAGCCUAACGGCUGAACCAGCAACUUGGAGGAAUGUAUAGGGAAAGCUAGUAAAAUGUGAUGUACCUAAUUGUAUUAGUGAUUAAUAUGAUAUUAACUAAGUUAAUUAAAGUUCUAAGUAAAUAAAUGAUAAUGACAGUAUUUGCUUAUGUCUUGACCAAGUCACGUGCCAGCAGUCGCGGUAAUACGUGGAAGAUUAGUGUUAUUCAUCUUUAAAAGGUUUAUAGGGUACCUAGACGGUUAAUAAAACAGACGUGUAUUAAUUAACUAGAGUUUGAUGUAAGAAAGAUUGAGUACAGUGUGUGUAGAGAUGAAAUUUCGUGAUACCACUUAGGAACUGGUAAGGCGAAAGCAACUUUCUAUGUAAAAACUGACGUUAAGGGACGAAGGCUCAUAUUAAAGAAUAGGAUUAGAGACCCUAGUAUUUUGAGCAGAAAAUGAUGAGUGUCAUAUGCAAGAAAUAUUUUGUGUAUAAAUGAAAGUGUAAGCACUCCACCUCAAGAGUAACAUGGCAACAUGGGAACUGAAAUCAUUAGACCGUUUCUGAAACUCGUAGUGAAGUAUGUUGUUUAAUUUGAUAAUCCUCAAAGAACCUUACCACAACUUGAAUAACUAUAAUACUAUAAAACAUUAUAUUGUUAUAGUUACAAGCGUUGCACGGCUGUCUCCAGUUAAUGUUGUAAAACUAUGAUUAGAUUCAUUAAAUUGACGUAAACCCUUACUUUAUUUAUAAUAAAGUAGUUCGCCACUAUAUUGGAAAUGAUAUAAGGGACUAAGACAAGUCAUCAUGACCU
rnacentral:rRNA from 1 species